CCUCACUCAAACAAAAAACCACCCAGGGACGGUCAUAACUUGGCAAAGCGUACAGCACAAAAAAACAAAAACAGGGCAGUAAACAGAGUGUUGGUGGCAAGCAACGGAGCAAACUCAUCAUCGCAACAGCCCCUCAUUCCAAUCUUCAAAGGGGAAAAGUACCACCUCUGGAGUCUCAAAAUGAAGACCAUGUUCAAGUCUCAGGAGCUAUGGGACUUGGUGGAAAAAGGGUUUGUAGAUCCAAAUCCGGCACAGCCUAACCAACAGUUGUGGGACACUUGGAAGAAAGAUGCAAAGGCCUUGUUUCUUAUUCAAUCGGCAUUGGAUGAUGAUCUCUUCUCCCGAAUCGCAUCAGCUAGCACCUCCAAUCAGGCGUGGGAGAUUCUGAAAAAGGAAUAUUUGGGUGACAAAAAGGUAAUUGCAGUAAAACUACAAACCUUUCGUCGUGAUUUUGAAACGCUAGCUAUGAAAGAGAAAGAAUCUGUGCAAGCAUUUCUGUCCCGUGUGUCUAGAAUUGUUAAUCAGAUGAAGUCUUAUGGAGAAAAUAUUAGUUAUGAGACUGUUGUCAGCAAGGUUUCUAGGAGUUUAACCUCAAAAUUUGAUCAUGUUGUAGCUGCGAUUGAAGAAUCUAAGGACUUGACAACUUAUACUUUUGAUGAAUUAAUGGGUUCUUUGUUAGCCCAUGAGGGUAGGCUUAACAGGUCCCAGGAAAAGGUUGAGGAGAAGGCUUUUCAGGUGAAGGGGGAGUCUCCGUACAAGGGAAAGUCAGAAAAUUCAAGAGGCCGCGGAUAGAGCAGAGGUGGCUUUCGUGGUCGAGGCCGUGGUAGAGGUAAAGGAAGAGGCCAAUCUGGUGAUCAACGCCAGCAUAAAAAAAGUGUGGAUUUUGCUUUGGAGAUCCUGCACAGAUGUGGUUCAAGUGAUGGUGAUAACCUUCAGAUUGCACAAGCUAGUCUGGAGCAUUUGGAGGCUAGCAUUGGAUCCAUUGAGAAUGGCUUGAAGUGUUCGUUUAGGCACUUGAUCAAAGCAAGGGCGUCUCUUCUGAACUUGGUAUCCAAAUAAAAACACAGUUCCUCUUGAAACCUGCGUAGGCAUCCAAGUUUUACAGGAUAUGCUUACGGUUCCAGUUUUGUGAUCAAUAUCCAUGUGCAAACUUUUCAUGUAUAGAAGAAAAUGAUAUAGAAACCUUCUUUUAUCAUGCAAAAUAUGACCUCUCUUAUCUUCUUUUCAUUAUGCAUAUAUUUUGCAGAAGUAACAUGCUUAGUUAAAGAAACUAAUCCAACCUCGCAAGAAGAAAAUUGAAAUUACGCCAUAUCUCAAGGUGGAACUAGGUUUCAUGGAUAUUAUCAGGGAGAGAACAUGUUAACUGUACGUUUGAUGAUAAUACAAUAAUCAAUUAUCUAUUUAGCAAUUAACUCCUCCACUGUCAGGUUGCAAACCUCGAGGGGAACAUUGUGGUUAAUGUGUUCAUGCCCACACUUGUACAAAUAAAUAUCUGCAUUUUUUUGUCUUACUACCACAUGGAUGGAUCCACUUGUUUCUCAUAAUCAAUUGUGGAUAUGGUUCUUAAUUCUCUGCAUCGCAUCCCCUGAACGUUGCCUUUGUACAAUUUUCCGUCCGUUGUCAAAGUUUGUCCUCUCCAGUCUCCAUACAGCUUUGGAGGCACCAUGCAUUUCCUUCUUAAUUGUAACUGACAAAUUGAUAAUUGUAGAAGCCUCGUACAAUGAGGACGUCCCUAUAGAUACCUACAGAUGUGAAAGCCAAAAGGUACAAGUUCUCCAAUAUUCUAUUGGUAUUGCAAAACACACAACCUUCGAACCUGCAUAGGCAUCUCUUCUGAACUUAGUAUCUCAAUAAAAACACAGUUCCUCCUGAAACCUGCAUAGGCAUCCAAGUUUUACAGGAUAUGCAUAUGGAUUCCAAUGUUGUGAUCAACACCUACGUAAGAAUUUUUCAUGUGUAGAGGAAAAUGAUAAUGAAA